rnacentral:rRNA from 1 species
AGGGUUUGAUUAUGGCUCAGGAUGAACGCUGGCGGCGUGCCUAACACAUGCAAGUCGAGCGAGAAGCUCAUAACAGAUGCUUCGGUUGAAGUUAUGAGUGGAAAGCGGCGGACGGGUGAGUAACGCGUAGGCAACCUGCCCUUUGCAGAGGGAUAGCCUCGGGAAACCGGGAUUAAAACCUCAUAAUGCUGAAGGAAGACAUCUUUUUUCAGCCAAAGAUUUAUCGGCAAAGGAUGGGCCUGCGUCUGAUUAGUUAGUUGGUGGGGUAACGGCCUACCAAGGCGACGAUCAGUAGCCGACCUGAGAGGGUGAUCGGCCACAUUGGAACUGAGACACGGUCCAA